CGGCUGUUCAGCUAACACUGGGUGGCGUACCCUCACUGCUCAUCUAACACCUGUGCGAAGGUGGCUCGCCACACCCUUCAGGUCCUGUGCUGAAGUUACUGCAGUGGCUGAAGCUAAUUAGCAAACUAGGGCUACUAGUGAUGCUGUUAAGAUAAGAUAAGAUAAGAUAAGAUGACCUUUAUUAGUCCCACAGGUGGGAAAUUUGUUUAAAAAUUACGAGAAGAAAAAAGAUAAGAAGGAAAGAAACUCAGAAUGAGCAGAGCUGCUGUAACAGGCUGCCGCACACGGGGGGCGCCGGAAGCUACACCUGUAAAGGGAAAUCAGCACCUGCAGGACUGGUGAUAUGUUCCCUGUCCACAGGAUACUCAUCCAGGCUUCAUUUACACUGUAGAUGAAAUGAUGGCGUCCCGCUGACUGAUGACUGGCUGCACGCUCUGGGAACAGUUUGGGGAUGGCCACUUCCUGUUCCAACAUGACUGCGCACCGGUGCACAAAACGAGGUCCAUAAAGACAUGGAAGAGCGACUUUUGUGUGGAAGAACUUGACUGGCCUGCACUGAGUCCUGACGUCAAUCCAAAGGAACACCUUUAGGAUGAAUUAGAGUGGAGACUGUGAGACAGGCCUUCUCGUCUAACAUCAGUGUCGGACCUCAUAAAUGUGCUUCUGGAAGAAUGGUAGCCAGCUUUUACACAACUGAAGGAACAACACAACAAGCAGCACAUCCCCUGAAGCUGACAGGGGAAGAUAUUAUAUAAUACAGCUGCAUGCGUGUCAGAGGUGACAUAGCAUCCUGUUUGGGACAUCAUGUCUUUGAAGAAAG
ensembl:lncRNA